rnacentral:rRNA from 1 species
GAUGAACGCUGGCGGCGUGCCUAAUACAUGCAAGUCGAGCGAACGGACGAGAAGCUUGCUUUUCUGAUGUUAGCGGCGGACGGGUGAGUAACACGUGGAUAACCUACCUAUAAGACUGGGAUAACUUCGGGAAACCGGAGCUAAUACCGGAUAAUAUUUUGAACCGCAUGGUUCAAAGGUGAAAGACGGUCUUGUUGUCACUUAUAGAUGGAUCCGCGCUGCAUUAGCUAGUUGGUAAGGUAACGGCUUACCAAGGCAACGAUGCAUAGCCGACCUGAGGGGGUGAUCGGCCACACUGGAACUGAGACACGGUCCAGACUCCUACGGGAGGCAGCAGUAGGGAAUCUUCCGCAAUGGGCGAAAGCCUGACGGAGCAACGCCGCGUGAGUGAUGAAGGUCUUCGGAUCGUAAAGCUCUGUUAUUAGGGAAGAACAUAUGUGUAAGUAACUGUGCACAUCUUGACGGUACCUAAUCAGAAAGCCACGGCUAACUACGUG